GUGGCCUUGCUGCCACGAUCCA
rnacentral:snRNA from 1 species